rnacentral:rRNA from 1 species
UAUCCGGAUUUACUGGGUGUAAAGGGAGCGUAGACGGUUGUGUAAGUCUGAUGUGAAAGCCCGGGGCUCAACCCCGGGACUGCAUUGGAAACUAUGUAACUAGAGUGUCGGAGAGGUAAACGGAAUUCCUAGUGUAGCGGUGAAAUGCGGAGAUAUUAGGAGGAACACCAGUGGCGAAGGCGGCUUACUGGACGAUCACUGACGUUGAGGCUCGAAAGCGUGGGGAGCAAACAGGAUUAGAUACCCUGGUAGUCCACGCCGUAAACGACGACUACUAGGUGUCGGGGAGCAAAGCUCUUCGGUGCCGCAGCAAACGCAAUAAGUAGUCCACCUGGGGAGU